UAGGGAAUAUUGCACAAUGGGCGAAAGCCUGAUGCAGCAACGCCGCGUGCGCGAAGAAGGCCUUCGGGUCGUAAAGCGCUUUUCGGGGAGAUGAGGAAGGACAGUAUCCCCGGAAUAAGGCUCGGCUAACUACGUGCCAGCAGCCGCGGUAACACGUAGGAGCCAAGCGUUAUCCGAAUUCACUGGGCGUAAAGCGCGUGCAGGCGGCUUGAAAAGUUGGAUGUGAAAGCUCCCGGCUCAACUGGGAGAGGACGUUCAAAACUAUCGAGCUAGAGGACGGCAGAGGGAGGUGGAAUUCCCGGUGUAGUGGUGAAAUGCGUAGAUAUCGGGAGGAACACCAGUGGCGAAGGCGGCCUUCUGGGCCGUUACUGACGCUCAGACGCGAAAGCUAGGGGAGCGAACGG
rnacentral:rRNA from 1 species